AUUCCACAUAAGAAAGGGGGAAAGGGUACUUUCACUUUGAAGGUGAAGGAAACUUCCAGGAGGACACACCUGCAGCAGGCUUAGAGAGCAAUGCUUCCAGAUCAGAGCAGGAGGAUGGAGAGGUCUCCAAGGAAAAAAAUCCAGUUGACAGAUCGCUUCAUGGGCUUAAAUAUAUUAAAAGGAGUUGUAGAGUUCUGUGCAAAAGUUUAGGACAAAAUUAGUGAUAGGCACAAAGAAAUUAAAAGACACCACAAAAGGAGAGUUAAUUUCAGGAAAUCAACAGUUAUAUAAGAAAGGUAACCCAGUAGUAUAUUACUUGUCUCUGCUGUGAGUAAUAUUUAUGCAGACUUAACAAUGUAAACACUGAAUAUUGGUUUAUCCACCCCAAAUACAUUAUAACUAUAUUGCGGGGAGUUUCCUGGGGGACAGCGAGAGGGUGGAGGCUGUAAACAGUCUAAAUCUUCAACUUAAUAAUAAGGGGGUGCAUGGAAGAAAACUGGCCUGCUUUCGAGGACAUCAUCAGAGCCCAGAGUUCAACAGAUCAUGAACACUUCGAGACAAAUGAAGACAGGUGCAAUCUCCUUGAAGAAAUAAAAUCUAAGUACCAACAUCCCUUCUGAGUCAAGAAUCUCCUCUCUUAAAAAUGUAAAGCUAUUGAUCAGGGAGGGAAGUGUAUUAAGCAGAGCAUUUUUGAUCAAUGGCUGUAUACUUCCUCCUCCCUAACUCCCAAACUCCAGACACAACUGCAGUAACUCCUGAGAUUCUUAUGGAGCAGGAGAGCAGAUAAAUGGAGGAGAUGAAGCAUGAGGACUGAAUAUGGAAAUUUGGGUGCUAUAUGUUUAAUAUUGACUGAUAUAAAUCAACAUGCAUAUAUCAAUGUGUCACACUUUCCAGUUUCUAGGCAAAGAUCUUUGGUGCUGAUCACUCCACCCUCUGUAUACCAGAUAAUUGUGGCCCCCUCUCUCUCUAAGCAAAGAUGGUAGGGAUUGUGAGGUGAGGGUGGGCUUGGUAGAAUGAUUGCAGAAUUUUAAAAUAUAUAUAUCUCUCUCUCUAUUUGUUUCCAUAAUGUAAUCAUUACUCUACAUGCUGUUUUGGAACUUUUUCACUUAAUAUAACAUGACACUUUCUACUUGAUAUACUAUAGAUCAUAAAAUAAUUCAUUCUCUCUAUAUUUUUGAUGACUUACUGAGUUGCUUUGCUGAGCAUUCAGGACACAAUAAUGAAAAAAUGAGUAUAUACGUGGCUCUCAAGGACUUGAUGGUGCUGUUUCUCGUGUCUGUAAUUUAUUAUUUGAAACAUUUCCACAAGUUGUGCAAUAGAUAUUAAUGUUACUUUUCUCCCCAUGGUUCUUGACCCAAGUUUAAACCCGUAGUAAGAACAGAGACAGAGUUUGGACCCAGAUUGCAUUCCAAAAUGCACGUUCUUAUAAUAUAUGUUUUAUAUGUAAUGCUAAAGUUGAAAAAAAGAAAGAAUGUGAUAAACUGACUAGCGAAGUUGUGAAUAAAAGGUUUUGGGAUUUAAAAAUUUUUUGACACAUUUGCUUUAUCUCUGUCUCUCUAAAUAGAUUUAAAUAUAUGUACAUCAUUUAACAUUUUUUAAAAAAUUACGUAUUUAAAAAUUAGUUCUAGACAUCAUGAACCUUUAUCCCUAAGUAUUUCAGCAUAAAUAUCAUUUAAAAUGUAAAACUACUGGCUGGACCUGGUGGCUCAUAUCAGUAAUCCCAGCGCUUUGGGAGGCUGAGUCUGGAGGAUCAUUUGAGCCCAGGAGUUGUAGUUUACAGUGAACCAUGAUCACACCGCUGCACUCCAGUUUGGGUGAUAUAGUAAGACCCCAUCUUUAAAACGAACAAACAAACUAAAAGACCAUCUAUGCUUAUUAUUAUUACCCCCAAAUGUAACACUGAUACAAAAAUAGUAUUUAACAUGGAGACCCUAUUCAGAGUUUUCCAAUUUUCCCCAAAUAUACAUCUUUCUUUAAAAAAAUAAAGAAUCCAAUCAAGGAUUUGCAGUUGAUCAUUAUAUUUCUAGAACUAUCCCCCUUCCUGAACAUUUUUUGGUCUUUCACAAAAUGACAUUUUUGAAGAGUCUAGACCAUUUUCAUGGAAUUGUCCUACCAUCUGGAUUUGUGUGAUUGUUCCUUCAUGGUUAGGUUUUGGUUAAACUUUUCUUUUCUUCUUCUUUCUUUUCUUUCUUUCUCUCUCUCUCUUUCUUUUCUUUCUUUCUCUCUCUCUUUCCUUUCUUUUCUUUCUCUCUUUCUUUCUCUUUCUUUCUUUCUUUCUUUCUUUCUUUCUUUCUUUCUUUCUUUCUUUCUUUGUUUCUUUCUCUUUCUUUCUUUCCUUCUUUCCUUCCUUCCUUCUUUUCUUUUCUUUCUUUUUUUAGACAAAGUCUCCCUUUAUUGCCCAGCCUAGAGUGCAGUGGUGCAAACACAACUCACCCCAGUCUCAACCUCCUGAGCUCAAGCGAUCCUCCCACCUCAGCUUCCCAAGUAGCUGGGACCACCCGUGCGUGCCACCAUGCCCAGCUAAUUUUAAAAUGUUUUGUAGAGACAGGAUCUCACUAUGGUGCCUAGGCUUGUCUCAAACUCCUGGACUCAAAUGAUCCUCCUGCCUUGGCCUCCCAAAGUGCUGUAAUCGCGGACAUGAGCCACUGCACCUUGCCGGUUAAAUAUUUUUGACAAGAAGACUACAUAGGUGAUGUUUGCUUGCCAUUGUACGAAUUCAGGGGACACAUAAUAGUGUUUUCUACUAUUGAUGAUGCCAAAUUAGAUCAUUCAGUUAAGGGGACUUCUAGGUUUCUCCUUUGCUAAAUUACCUUUUCAGAAAGUCACCUAGGGUGGAGAACUAGCUACAUAAUUGCAGAGCACAGUACAAAAUUACAGUGCUAGGCUCCUUGUUUUAAAAUUAUUAAGAAUUUCAAUAUGGCAAUAAUGGAGCAUUAAAGCAAGCAGGAGGCACUACUUAGUAUAGGGCCCUGUGUGACUGGUCUCACGCUCGUGAAGCUGGCCUGUGUGAGGUGAUUCUUUGGGAUCACCUAAAUAUCCUCUUCCCUAAUGACCUUUCAUUCAGUAGUUUUGCAUUUAAUGAUGAUUUUCCAUGAAUUAAUUUUUAUCUCACUGGUUGCAAAUGAGUGAUUUUUUAAUUUUGUUAUUUCUUCUAUAUUUAUUUGCUGGCAUUCUGUGGAAAAAGCUCUUUUAUAAACCUAAGUUCAUACAAAACUCUGCAUGUGAAUGUUUAUAGUGGUUUUGUUCAUAAUUGUCAAAAACUGGAAAUAGCCCAAAUGUUCUUCAGUGGGUGAAUAGAUAAACAAAUUAUGUUGCAUCCAUACAGUAGAAUAUUACUCAGGGAAAAAGAAAGAACAAACUACAGAUACAUGAAACAACGUGGUGAAAUCUUAAAUUUAAAUACAUUUUACUAAGUGAGAGAAACCAGUUUCAAAGACUACAUGUUGUAGAAUUUCUUGUAAAAUAUGAUGUUCUGAAAGAAACAAAAUAUAGGAACAGAAACAUGUCUCCUGCUACCAGAGGUUGGGGUGGGGGAAAGUAUUGAUUACAAAGGGAAAUAAGAGGGAAUUUUUGGCACGAUGGAACUAUUUUAUAUCUUAAUUUUGGUGGUAGUUACAUGGUUGUAUGCAUUUAUCUAACUCAUGUAAUUGUAUACUACUAAAAAAUUUUACUGUAGGCAAAUAUGAAAAAGUGAAUAAAUAACUUAAAAACUAAUACAAUUGGUCAUGUUUAAAAAAAAAAAAGACCCCACCUUCCCAGUACUUAAGAUAACUACGGACUCAUGGAUUCUCUUUUUAUUAAACAUACAACCAUUCUCUAUGCCAUUCUCUAUAUGUUCUACUUAUGCCAUUCUCUAUAUGUUCUACUUAUACCAUUUAUAUUAUUAGUAUAAUAAUAUUAUCUUCUUUUUUACUUUUCAAUUUUAAAAUUAUUAUAAAUGUGUAGGAAGUUGCAAAAAUAAUGCACAGAAGCCCUGAAAAUGCUUCACUUCGUUUUCCUCUGUGGUUACAUUUUAGGUAGCUAUAAUUCAAUAUUAAAACCAGGAAAAUAGCGUUAGUACAAUAUUUCUGGGCCACUUUAUCAAAUGUGUAGAUUAAGGUAAAUAUAACUACAAUCAUGAUACAGAACUAUUUCAUCACUAUGAAGGUUUCCAGCAUGCUGCAUGCAUAGUUAUAGGCAUCUCCUUAACGCCCACCAUUCCUAACUCUUGGCAACCACUAAUCUGUGUUCUAGCACUAUCGUUUUGCAAUUUUGAGAAUGCUAUGUGAAUGAAUUAUACAGCAAAUGACCUUUGGAGACUGGCUUUUUAAGUUUAGCACAAUGCCCUUGAGAUCCAUUCAAGUUAUUGUGUGUAGCGGCAGUAUUUUCUUUUUAUUGCUGAGUAAUAUUCCAUGUGUGGUGUGCCACUAUGUGUUUAAUUAUUCACCUGCUGAGGGAUAUUUUGGUUGUUUCUCGUUUUAAACUAUUACAAAUAAAACUCUGAAUAGUCAAGUUACAGCUUUUUGUGUGGUUACUAUUCUUUGUCAUGUUAAACAUUGUUCCAAAUUUGGCCACUAGGCCAAAUUCAGUUCAGGUAUACUAUUUUUUAAAUUGCAGUGUGGUUUUCAUACAGUAAAAUUGCAGUGUGGUUUUCAUACAGUAAAAUUCAUCCUCUUAAGGGUAUAGUUCUAUGCAUUUUGCUCAAUAUAUAGAAGUAUG
rnacentral:lncRNA from 10 species